AAAUUGCCAUGUUUUUAUCACAUGUUUAGAUCAGAGAAAAUAACCAUUUUACUUUCCAUGAAUCACCAUACUUGUUGCCGACAAAUUUGCCAUGAAUACAGUCAGCCCCGUGUAAAAGUACAAUCAGGUGAUUAGCAAGCCCACCCUCUCAUCUGUGCGCUCCUUAUUGAUCCGAUGGCCCACGAGUUGAGUUUCCAGAUUUUCACUGAAUCAGUGUUUUCGCAUGAUCCAUGUCCCUCUGCUGGUUUCGAGUCACCCUUUAGAAGAUGCAUCGGCGCAGCCUCUCCAGGAUCUCGCUGCACCUCCGUCCCCUGCCAUGCAUCAACUUCCUCUUAGCCCUGCACAGGUAAGCAAUAUAGUACGCGGCAUCUGCUUCAUGUACUGAUUGAACCUAUAUGGCAUCACAGUCUUAUUGCCACAACAUCCUCAUAGCCCUCCACCUGAUGGUAGAACAAGCACUACCAGAAUCAUGGUAACCCUCAUAUGUGCCUCGACAGAGUGGAGGCUAGGAAAAGAGGGUCCAUGACAUGCUGUCCAUGUCGAGGGUGAACUUCACACAAAAAUUGCAUAACCAAAACAUCGCUAGCUAGCGACAGGCACACAAGAAAGAGGUCGAGACAAGGAACUGUACCUUUUGUGAAGGAAGCUUGCUCAAACUCAGCCUUCUCGUUGUUAAAUCUUUCACUC
rnacentral:lncRNA from 1 species